rnacentral:rRNA from 1 species
AUGUUAGUCUGUGUGGUCGACGCCUUGGGAGAACCUACUGAUGGAAAAGGGGCUCUAAGCGAUCACGAAUGAAGACGUGUCGAAGUGAAAGCCCCGGGGAUUAUUGAACGUAAAUAUGUGCAUGAACCCAUGCAAACAGGCUUAAAAGCAGUGGAUAGCCUGGUUCCUAUAGGCCGUGGUCAACGAGAACAUAUAAUCGGGGACAGACAAACUGGAAAAACUGCAAUAGCUAUCGAUACUAUAUUAAACCAAAAGCAAAUGAACUCAAGGGGCACAAAUGAGAGUGAGACAUUGUAUUGUGUCUAUGUUGCGAUUGGACAAAAACGCUCGACUGUGGCACAAUUAGUUCAAAUUCUUUUAGAAGCGAAUUCUUUGGAAUAUUCCAUUCUUGUAGCAGCCACUGCUUCAGAUCCUGCUCCUCUGCAAUUUCUGGCCCCAUAUUCAGGGUGUGCCAUGGGGGAAUAUUUCCGCGAUAAUGGAAUGCACGCAUUAAUUAUAUAUGAUGAUCUAAGUAAAUAG